UGCCUUCAGGAUGGGGACAACAGACGGAAACGGACUGCUAAUACCGAAUAAGUUCCAAGAGCCGCAUGGCCCAUGGAAGAAAAGGUGGCCUCUACCUGUAAGCUAUCGCCUGAAGAGGGGUUUGCGUCUGAUUAGCUGGUUGGAGGGGUAACGGCCCACCAAGGCGACGAUCAGUAGCCGGUCUGAGAGGAUGAACGGCCACACUGGAACUGAGACACGGUCCAGACUCCUACGGGAGGCAGCAUG
rnacentral:rRNA from 1 species